UGAGGAAUAUUGGUCAAUGGGCGAGAGCCUGAACCAGCCAAGUAGCGUGCAGGAUGACGGCCCUAUGGGUUGUAAACUGCUUUUAUGUGGGGAUAAAGUGCGUGACGUGUCGUGCAUUGCAGGUACCACAUGAAUAAGGACCGGCUAAUUCCGUGCCAGCAGCCGCGGUAAUACGGAAGGUCCGGGCGUUAUCCGGAUUUAUUGGGUUUAAAGGGAGCGUAGGCUGUCUAUUAAGCGUGUUGUGAAAUUUACCGGCUCAACCGGUGGCUUGCAGCGCGAACUGGUCGACUUGAGUAUGCAGGAAGUAGGCGGAAUUCAUGGUGUAGCGGUGAAAUGCUUAGAUAUCAUGACGAACUCCGAUUGCGCAGGCAGCUUACUGUAGCAUAACUGACGCUGAUGCUCGAAAGUGCGGGUAUCAAACAGG
rnacentral:rRNA from 1 species